GAUGAACGCUGGCGGCGUGCCUAAUACAUGCAAGUCGAGCGAACGGACGAGAAGCUUGCUUCUCUGAUGUUAGCGGCGGACGGGUGAGUAACGCGUGGAUAACCUUCCUAUAUGACUGGGAUCACUUCGGGACACCGUUGCUACUACCGGAUAAUACUAUGAACCGCAUGAUUCAAAAGUGCAAGGCGGUCUUGCUGUCUCUUAUAGAUGGAUCCGCGCUGCAUUAGCUAGUUGGUAAGGUACCGGCUUACCAAGGCAACGAUGCAUAGCCGACCUGAGAGGAUGAUCAGCCACACUGGAACUGAGACACGGUCCAGACUCCUACGGGAGGCAGCAGUGGGGAAUAUUGGACAAUGGGCGAAAGCCUGACGCAGCAAUGCCGCGUGAGUGAAGAAGGUCUUCGGAUCGUAAAGCUCUGUUAUUAGGGAAGAACAGCAGUAUGAGAAUACCUCGACGUCUUGACGGUACCUAAACAAAAAGCACCGGCUAACUUCGUG
rnacentral:rRNA from 1 species